GAUUGAGUGUUCCGGUGAAUUAUUCGGACUGUUCCGUGUCGCGGCAACGUGUGCGGGAUGGAAAGUUUUGUGAACCUUAACACUUAGAGGAAGGAGAAGUCGUAACAAGGUUUCCGUAGGUGAACCUGCGGAAGGAUC
rnacentral:rRNA from 1 species